rnacentral:lncRNA from 1 species
CUCUGUGGUCCUUCCGCCAAAACAUCUGGGCUCCUCCACCUCCCCGAGCCCAAAUGGCCAUGCAGGUCGAACACCAGCUCUGAAGUGGGCAGGGCCCCCAGGGAGGACAGCCACGGGAGCUCAGGCAGCGUCCCCGCCGGCACCUGCCUCUUUGUGCAGCGGCAGUCAGGGCCCUCGGCAAUGAGCUGAACUCGCAGUGCGGUUACGAGGGCAAAUAUGCUCCUUGAGGGCCGGCGAAACUCAGCAGCCCGAGGAAGGCUACUGAUGUGCAUUUCAUAGCCGGCUGCGAAUUUAGGAAAACAGACUUUGCUUCUCGUCACUCAGCCUACGUGACCAGGUUCAGACACAGUCUGCAGCCGCCCGCCUCGCACCCCCACUCUGCAGUGCGGUAUGUGGGGAGCUCAGGGCACAGCAGGCCAGGCCUCCCCGUGGACGUCCAGGAACCAGAACCAAACUGCCCAGGGCCCCAGAGGGGAAGAUGUCUCAGCAGACGGACAGCCGAGGCUCACAUGGCAAGCUCUGGCAGCCUGUCGGUCCCAGGAGAGAGGGGGAGAUGGCAGACGGGAAAAGAAGCCACCUGCUGGGAUGCUGAGACUCGCUUGCAGGAGCUUUUGGAACUGGCUGAGGUCACAGCUGGAACCACUGUGGCCAGCUGGAGUCUGCACAGCCCGAGUUUCCACCCCAGGGUCCCAGUAACUCCGCCCAAAUGUGCACACGAGACCUAUGAGGAGACAUAACUUUCCAGAACCCCCUUUUCUUCCACCAGCCACUUACUCAUCCAAGAACCCACCCCCGAACCUUCCCUAAUAGAAACACUGCAUUAAAGCCAGCGCGGGGAGACAGACGUGAACUGCGCCCCUGUCUCCUUGUGGGUUGGCCUAGAAUAAAAGCUUUUCUUUUCUCAAAAACCUGGUGUCAUAGUAUUGGCCUCCUGCACAUCGGGCAGCGAGCCCUUUUGCUCAGUAACAGGGAGACACAGGCAGAGCCCUUGGGGUGACAAGGGGACAGCCCUGAGCAGCAGCGGCCCCAGCACGCUCCCCGGGUAGAGCAGUGAGCCCAUGAAUAAUGCUGCGCCUGCGCAGAAGGAACGAGGCUGACACCAACAUCCCUGCCCUGCGGGAGGAGGCUGCCUCCGCAGCAGCACCGUGAGCAGGGCCCUUGUGGAUCCACAGCACCGCGGGUCCCCAGCAGCCACAAGGACAGACCCACGCCAGCUCAAGAGACAGACUCACGCCAGCUCAAGAGACGCAGCAGUGACCACAGAGAGUGGCUGUGCACACUCCACCAGGAUAUGAGUGACGCGCCUCUGUGCACCAGCCCAUCAUCCACACUGUCCACGAGACCCUGGAGACAGCAUGGCCACUGCGGCCCAGGAACGCCGCCCACCCACCCACCUGCACGCCAGCCCCACCCAGGCGCUCACUUGAACAUGGCGAUGAGGAGCUUGGCAGGAGGGGGCCCUCGAGGCCUCCAGUCACUGCCAGGUCCCCCGCAGGCCUGAUGCUGCUCAUUUGGGUGACCUCAGCUGUCACCUCUGGGCCAGAAGUCCAGAAAGAGGCAUCUGUCUCCAGCCAGAUGCAGGUAGGAGGCCCCGGGGGCAGAGCUGCACCCAGGCUGGCCCGUGCCUCCGCCCAGGGUGUGCCACCCACCAGGGCACUGCCAGGGUCCCAGCCAGGGCCAGCACCAGGUCCCAAGCCUGGGGAGUUCAAUUUGGUGGAAAUAAUUUAAAAGGAAAGGCCAGGAGCAGUGGCUCAUGCCUGUAAUCCCAGCACUUUGGGAGGCCAAGGCGGGCGGAUCACCUGAGGUCAGGAGUUUGAGACCAGCCUGGUCAACAUGGUGAAACCUUGUCUCUACUAAAAAUACAAAAAUUAGCCAGGCAUGGUGGCGGGCGCCUAUAAUCCCAGCUACUCGGGAGGCUGAGGCAGGAAAAUCACUUGAAUCCGGGAGGGAGGUGGAGGUUGCAGUGAGCCGAGGUUGCCUCAUUGCACUCCAGCCUGGGCAACAAGAGCAAAUGUCUGUCUCAAAAAUUAAAAAAAAAAAAAAAAAAAAAGAAUUGAAAAGGAAAAAAAUAACAACUAUCCCAAAGAGAAGGGAGACGUGGAGAUGUGGAAAAGGGAAGAUGUUGCAGAGGCAAUGUAUCGACAAGUGAAACGGGUGAUUGUGAAGAAAAAUAGCGUCCUGCGUGCAUAGAAAGUAAGGGCUAUUGAAUAUGGAAACAGCUUCUACCUUAAACAAAUCUCUAAGGAAACAUAGUAAGUUGUUAACAGUAGUUAACUCCGGGAGGUGAAAUUAUGAAUAACAUUCUUUCCUUAUACUUAUCUUGAAUUUUAAAAUUGUUCAACAAUGAGCAAUGCAUUAUUGGGUAAUCAAACCUAUUUUGAAUGUGUUACUAAUUUUCUAAGAUAGAAACGCACUCUGAUGGCUAUAAAUUCCUAUAUUAAUAAAGAAGAGCUGAAAUUAUUAACGUAACUUCCCACUGUAGUAAACUAGAAAAAGAAGAGCAAACCACCCUUUCACAAUAAAAACACUCAAGAAGUUAGGAAUCAAAGAGAACCUCUUUGAUUGAAAGGACAUUUACAAAAACCCUGCAGCUAACAUCAUACCCAGUGGGAAAGACUGGAUGCUUUCCCUGAGACAAGCCAAAAGCAAGCAGAAGGAAGGAAAGAAUGAAGAUUAGAAUAUAAAUGAGAUCGAGAAAUCAAAAACAAUGAAUGUCAACAAACCAAACUCAGUUCUUGAAAAAGAGCAACAAAAAUAAUUACCACCUUGUAGCUAAGACUGAUCAAGGAAAAAAAGAGAGAAGGCUCAAAUUGCUAAAAUCAGAAAUGAAAGAGAGGAUAUUACUACUAAUCUUACAAAAAGAAAAAGAACUCAAAGGAAAUCCUAGAGAAAAUUGUAUGCUAAAAAAAUUAGAUGAUCUAGAUGAAUGGACAAAUUCCUAGAAAGACACAAACUACCAAAGGUGACUGGAGAAGAAAUAGAAAAUAUAAAUAGACCUAUAACACAUAAAGAGAUUGAAUUAGUAAGUUAAAAACAUCACACAAAGAAAAGUCCACACUCAGAGGAGUUCACUGGUGAAUUCUACCAAAUGUUCACGGAAGAAUUAAAACCACUCUUUUACAAACUCUUCCAAAAUAUAAGAGGAGGAACUACUUCCUAAGCCAUUUUAUGAGGCCAGUAUUAUCCUGGUGCCAAAACUAGGCAAACAUAUUACAAGAAAAGAAAACCACAGACCAAUAACCUUCAUGAAUAUAGGUGCAAAAAUCAUCAAAAAACAGCUAGCAAAGUGAAUCCAGCACCAUGUAAAAGAGAUUAUUCACCAAGACCAAGUGGGACGUGUCCCAGGAACAUAAAGUUGGUUUAACAUUCGAAGGUCAAUUGAUGGAAUGCACCAUAUUAAUAGUAAAAGGAUCAAAGACCAUCUGAACAUUUGAAUAAGUGCAGGAGAAGCAGCUGACAAAGUCUACCACUCCUUCACAAUAAAAACACUCAAGAAACUAGGAAUAGAAGGGAACUUCUUCAACCUGAUAAAGGACAUUUAUAAAAGCCCCACAGCUAACAUCACACUUAAUGGUGAAAGGCUUGUUCCCUAAGAUCAGUGGACUCGUCUUAAGAUCAGGAGCAAAGCAAGGAUGUCCCCCAUUGUCCCUUCUGUUCAACAUUGUACUGGAGGUUCUAGCCAGGGCACUUAGGCAAGAAGAAGAAAUAAAAGGCAACCAGUUUGGAAAGGAACAAGUAAAACUCUCUUUUUGCAGAUGACAUGGUCUCGUAUAUGACAAAUCCACUAAAAAACUAUUAAAAGUAAUAAAGAAGUUUAGCAAGGUUUCAGAGUUCAAGAUCAAUCUACAAAAGACAAUGUAUGUCUACAUACCAGUCAUUAACAAUUUGAAAUGAAAUCAAUAGGACAAUUCUAUUUAUAAUAGCUUGGACAAUAAUAAAAUAUUUAGGAAUAAAUUUAACAGAAGAAGCAUUAAGACUUAUUACUGGAAACUAUAAAACAUUAUUGAGAGAAAUUAAAGAAUUAAAUAAGCAAAAAGACAUCCCAUGUUCACAAUCAAAAUCACAGAUGCCCUUUUUGGAGAAAUUGAUGAGCUGAUCCAAAAAUUCUUGUGAAGCCAAGGGACCCAGAGGCCAAAGCAAUCCUGGAAAAGAACAAAUUAGGACUCACACUUCCGAAUUUCAAAACUUACUACAAGGCUACGCUCACCAAGACAGCACGGUCAAAACUUACUACAAGGCUACGCCAACCAAGACAGUGCGGUCAAAACUUACUACAAGGCUACGCUCACCAAGACAGUGUGGUCAAAACUUACUAUAAGGCUACGCUCACCAAGACAGUGAGGUCAAAACUUACUACAAGGCUACGCCAACCAAGACAGUGCAGUCAAAACUUACUACAAGACUACGCUCACCAAGACAGUGCGGUCAAAACUUACUACAAGGCUACGCUCACCAAGACAGUGCGGUCAAAACUUACUACAAGGCUACGCUCACCAAGACAGUGUGGUCAAAACUUACUACAAGGCUACGCUCAACAAGACAGUGUGGUCAAAACUUACUACAAGGCUACGCUCACCAAGACAGUGUGGUCAAAACUUACUAUAAGGCUACGCUCACCAAGACAGUGAGGUCAAAACUUACUACAAGGCUACGCCAACCAAGACAGUGCGGUCAAAACUUACUACAAGGCUACGCUCACCAAGACAGUGCGGUCAAAACUUACUACAAGGCUAUGCCAACCAAGAGAGUGCAGUCAAAACUUACUACAAGGCUACACCAAGACAGUGUGGUCAAAACUUACUACAAGGCUACACCAACCAAGACAGUGUGGUCAAAACUUACUACAAGGCUACGCCAAGACAGUGCAGUCAAAACUUACUACAAGGCUACGCCAAGACAGUGCAGUCAAAACUCACUACAAGGCUACGCCAACCAAGACAGUGCGGUCAAAACUUACUACAAGGCUAUGCCAACCAAGACAGCGCGAUCAAAACUUACUACAAGGCUACGCCAACCAAGACAGUGCGGUCAAAACUUACUACAAGGCUAUGCUCACCAAGACAGUGUGGUUCUGGCACAAGGACAGACAUCAGUGGAGUCAAACUGAGACUCUAGAAAUAAGCCCUUAUGUUAAUGGUCCACUGAUUUUCAACAAGGAUGCCAAGAUGCUUCACUGGGGAAACAACAGUCUUGUCAACAAAUAGUGCUGGGACAACAGGAGAGCCACAACGAAGACUGACCCUUACCGCACACCAGGGCAAACAAAAAGCGAAAGCUAUAAAACACUUAGUAGAACACAGGCAUAAAUCACGGCAAUGGUUUUCGCUAGGACACCAAAAGCACAAUGAUCAAAGAGAUUGAUAAGUUGAACAUCAUCAAAAUUUCAAAAGCUCGUGCAUCAAAUGACACCAUAAAGAAAAUAACAAGUCAGUGCACAGAUUGACAAAAAAAAUUCAAAUCAUACCUUUGGUAAGAGACUGGCAUCCUUACGUAAAGAACUCUUACGACUCAAUAAUAUAAAAGACAACUCAAUAAUAUAAAAGACAACUCAAUUGAAAAAUGGGCAAAGAUGGCUGGGGGCAGUGGCUUAUGCCUGUAAUGCCAGCACUUUGGGAGGCCAAGGCGGGUGGAUCACGAGGUCAGGAGAUCGAGACCAGCCUGGCCAACAUGGUGAAACUCUGUAUCUACUAAAAAUACAAAAAUUAGCCAGGCGUGGUGGCGUGCGCCUGUAGUCCCAGCUACUCGGGAGGCUGAGGCAGGAGAAUCACUUGAGCCCGGGAGGCAGAGGUUGCAGUGAGCUGAGAUCGCACCACUGCAUUCCAGCCUGGGUGACAGAGCGAGACCCUGUCGGAAAAAAAAAAAAAAAAAAAAAGGGCAAAGGAGAGGGAGAGACAUUUCUUGAAAGAAGACUUACAGACGACGAGGUUAGCAGAGGAGGAGAUGCUCAGCAUGGCGGGUCCUUAGAGAAAUGCCCGUCAAAGCGACAAGGAGAGCCACUUCUCACCCACCGGGAUGCGAGCUUUGUUUUUUUAAUGGACAAUAACAAAUGUUGACAAGAAGGUAGAGAAAUUGGAAUCCUGGGACUGGGCAGGCAGGAAUGUGGAAUGCGGCCGGUUCUUUGGAAAACAGCCCAGCACGUCCACAAAAACUUAAACAUGGAGUUCCCAUAUGAGCCAGCCGUGCAUUCCUAGGUGUCUAAGAGAAAUAAAAACAUACCCACACAAAACCCUGUAAAUAACUGUUCAUGCUACGUUAUUCACAGCAUGUGAAAAGUGGAAACGGCCCUGCGCGGUAGCUCACACCUGUCAUCCCAGCACUUUGGGAGGCCGAGGCGGGUGGAUCACCUGAGGUCAGGAGUUCAAGACCAGCCUGUCCAACAUGGUGAAACCCCAUCUCUACAAAAAAAUACAAAAAUUAGCCAAGCGUGGUAGCAGGUGCCUGUAAUCCCAGCUACUCGGGAGGCUGAGGCAGGAGAAUUGCUUGAACCCAGGAGGUGGAGGUCGCAGUGAGCCAAGAUUGUGCCACUGCACUUUGGCCUGACUCCCUCUCGGGAAAAAGAAAACAGAGCGAGACUCCCUCUAGGGGAAAAAAAAAAUUAAAUAUUAAUUAAUUUAAAAUUUUUUAAUUAAAAAAUUAAAUAUUAAUUUUUUUUAAAAAAAAGGAAAAGUGGAAACAACCCAUAUGUCCACCAACUGAUGAAUGGAUGAACAAAAUGUGGUGUGUCCACACAGCGGGGUCCUCUUCAGCCAUAAACGGGAAGUAAAUACUGAUACACGGUGACAAACCUUGAAAACGGGACAUCAAGUGAAAGAAGUCAGACACCAAAGACUGCCUAUUACAUCAUCCAGUUUCUAUGAAACGCCCAGAAAAGGCAGCUCACAAGUAGCUUCGUGGGUGGCUGUGGCUGAGGGGAGGGGAACGGGAGUGACUGUGAGUAUGCAGGGUCUUUUCAGGGUGAUGCAGAUGUUAUAAAGUUAGAUUCUGUAAAGAUACUGAAAACCACUGACAGGUGCACUUUAUCCAGGUGAAAUUUCUCUCAAUGAAGCUGUUAAAAAAAAAAAAAAAAAAAAAAAAAACCUUCUAUAUGAAAAGUGUUCUCUCUGGCAGGCAUGGUGGCUCACGCCUGUAAUCUCAGCACUUUGGGAGGCCAAGGGGGUGGAUCACUUGAGCUCAAGAGUUCGAUACUAGCCUGGGCCACAUGCUGAAACCCCCAUCUCUACAAAAAAUACAAAAAUUAGCCGGGUGUGUUGGCGUGCACAUGCAGUCCCAGCUACUCAGCAGACGGGUGGGAGGAGGACUUGAGCGCAGGAGGUGGACGUGCCACUGCACUCCAGCCUGGGUGACAGAGCAAAACCCUGUCAAAAAAUGGAAGGAAGGAAGGGAGGAAGGGAGGAAUGAAUUAUUUCCAUCAAGAGAAGAAGGAAGUUAUUUCUGAUUGAGGUGAGAGGGAAAGGGGAUACAGGGUGACAUUCCAUUUCAGGGGGCUGUCAGCUGAUGCCCCAGGUGCCCUCGGCCCACUCUGACCUCUGCGUGGCACCACUCACCCCCACCAGGCCCCCCUCCUCCCUCCCCUGGUGGGGCCCCUUCUACUUCCUGCCACAGGAGCUGGGGAAUGAAUGCCCCCAGGGAGGACACCGGCCAGGUGGGAACCGCAGGACCCCCUGAUGGAGCCGGCCUCACUCCCACUCAUGCGGCCCCUUUCCAGCCUCUCUCCUGCUUCCCGGCAGCACCACCCGAGCUCCCAUGGCGCCCGGCUCCUACCGUCGAUGUAGCCCGGGAUCUGCCCGAAGAUGGUGAGGUAGGAGUGGUAGACGGCCCCUCGGAACAGCCAGUCCACCCGGCGCUCGUUGUGGAUGAGGAUGGCCUGCUUGGCCACCCCGAAGGACACCACCCACACAGCCAGCAGGAAGAGGAAGAAGAAGACGUCCUUCAUCUGCAGGACAGAGAGUGUGUGGGCUACACUCUCCUGGCCCCCGAUGCUCACUGGGCCCAGAGGCAGGCCCAGCAGCGGUGGAGACAGCACUGCCACUCACAGCACAGACACGGCAUGCAGGAGGCUCCCAGGAGCAGUCCUGGGGCUGCCCCCACACCCUCGUGGACUGCCGACAUCUUUGUGCUAGCACCACAAAGUGCAAGAGGGGUCAGACAUAACCGUGACCCAAGGAGGAAAGCUCCUAGAGCUGAAUCAGAGGCCAGGAAUGAGUGCGGUCAGACAUAACCGUGACCAAGGAGGAAAGCUCCUAGAGCUGAAUCAGAGGCCAGGAAUGAGUGGGGAUCAGAGGGGAGAAUGAGGGAAGGCUUCCUGGAAGAGGUGACGUACAGGCAAAGAUACGAGAAGGGCAUUCUUGGGAGCCCAAGGGGCAAAGCAGGGACGGGGAACCUACAGGUGUGUUUAAGCCCCAGUCCGAGCCACUGGCAAGGGGCCUGCCCUCCCCGAGGCCCACCCUGGGCUGCAGGCCGCGAUGGAGCCGGUGCCCCCGCCCCCUUACCAUCCGCUUCACAAUGAUGAUCUUGGGCCCCAGCGUCUUACUGAUGGUAAAAAUGUGCAUGAGCCGGAGGCAGAACAGGAUGAAGUCCAGAGAGAGGAUGACGCGCCCGGGGUACAGCGUCGCCGGGAUGAGCCUGGCCGCCGGGCAGAAGCACACACAUCUCAGCCACCUGCUCACAGCAGCCCCCAGAGCUGUCCCCCGUCGCCCCUCCACCUGUCCUAGCCCAGGUGGGCCCUGGAGGCAAAGGGCUCUGGUGGGCCCUGCAUCCCAGGUGUUCAAAGCUGGCAUGAGAUUGAGGAAUAGAGCCUCCCACUUUUCUUCAGACGCCCAGCCCCACAGGGCAGCCUGGCAUGGGGGCACCUGGAGAGCCAGCAGUUAGCCAGGGCCCUAUUGCCUCCGAGAAAGGGGGCCGCGGCCUCGCAGAGACACGAGAGCAUCACAGGCAGUGCAGUGAGCCCACAGUAGGGAGGCAGAGGGAGAAAGCGGCAGCCGCGUGUCCGUGGAGCUGGGACAAUUCCAGAGGUUGCCAUCUAUGGCCCCUUGCACAUGGACAAUCUCAGCUCUGCCAGGAGCUCUCAUGCCCCUUCUGUGCUCCCUCAACAAUCCCAAGGGUAGGUGGGGCGCUGUUGCCUGGACACCCAUUGGACAGAUGACAAUCCAGGGUUCACAGACGAGCUGAGCCUCACCCGGUGUGGCUGGUUCUGGGCCCGGCCUGUGCUCAUCCCCUGCAGGGCUGGCUGCCUCAGACGGGCCCGCCAUCGGGGUGAGGCCACUCACCUGCAGGUCAGCCCUGCCACGAAGAGCAAGAUUGCGCCGACGUCCAGCUUAUUCCAGAAGUCACUGAAGUACAAGGCUGCCUUCUUCAUCAGCCCGCACUCGUCAGGGUCAUAGAAGAGCUACUGGGAAGAGGGGCGGUAGGAAGGCAGACAGGUUGUCACUCUUACUAUCCUCACUGUCACUGUCACAUCACUAUCCACUAUCAUCAUCACAGUCACUGUCACUAUCAUCACUAUCACUGUCACUAUCAUCACUACCCUUGCUGUCACCAUCACUGUCAUAUCACUAUCCACUAUCAUCACAGUCACUGUCACUAUCAUCACUAUCACUGUCACUAUCAUCACUAUCCUUGCUGUCACCAUCACUGUCAUAUCACUAUCCACUAUCAUCACAGUCACUGUCACUAUCAUCACUAUCACUGUCACUAUCAUCACUACCCUUGCUGUCACCAUCACUGUCAUAUCACUAUCCACUAUCAUCACAGUCACUGUCACUAUCAUCACUAUCACUGUCACUAUCAUCACUAUCCUUGCUGUCACCAUCGCUGUCAUAUCACUAUCCACUAUCAUCAUCACAAUCACAGUCACUGUCACUAUCAUCACUAUCACCGUCACUAUCAUCACUGUCACUAUCAUCACUAUCACUAUCAUCACUAUCAUCACGGUCAGCAAAUCCGAACAUUGGUUCUGAUCUGAAGAGAGCUGGGUCAGUGAGGGAGAUGGGAACAGGACGUGGAGGAACAAUGCAGAAUAGCGCUGGCAGCAGCUACCUCGGCCCCCUGCUCACUCAGCACCUGUGUGUGCAUAUAUGUGUAUGUACAUAUAUUCUGCAUGUAUGUGUGUAUACGUGUGAAUAUGUAUGUGUGCACAUAUGUGUGUGUAUGUAUGUGUGCAUUCUGUAUGUGUCUGCAUGUAUUUGUAUGUGUAUGCAUGUGUGUAUAUGUGUAUGUGCAUGUAUGUGUGCAUGUAUAUGUGUAUGCACAUACAUUUGCAUGUAUUGUGUAUGUAUGCAUGUUUGUGUGUGUGCAUGUGUAUGUGUAUCUGUGUGUCUCUGUGUAUAUGUGUAUUUGCAUGUUUUUGUGUGUGCAUGUGUAUAUAUGUGUAUGUGUCUGUAUGUGUGUGUUCAUAUGUGUAUGUUCAUUCAUGUGUGCAUAUGUAUAUAUGUGUGUGUAUGUGUGUACAUGUUUGUUCAUGUGCAUAUGUAUGUAUAUGUGUAUAUGUGCUUGGGUGAUGUGUAUAUUUGUGUAUGUGCAUGUGUGUAUGUGUAUGUGUGUAUGCAUGUGUAUGUGCAUGUGUGUAUGUAUGUGUGCAUAUGUGUAUGUGUAUAUUGUGUACAUGUGUAUGUGUGUAUGCAUGUGUGUGCUGUAUAUGUAUGUGCAUGUGUAUGUAUGUGUAUAUUUGUGUGUAUGCACACGUGUAAUGUGUGUAUGCAUGUGUGUGCAUGUGUAUACAUGUGUUUAUCUGUGUAUAUUUGUAUGUGUGCAUGCAUGUAUAUGUGUAUGCAUGUGUGUGCAUCUCUAUAUGCAUGUAUGUGUGUCCAUGCAUAUGUGUGUAUGCAUGUGUAUAUGUGUGCAUGUAUGUGUAUGCAUGUGUGUAUGCAUGUGUGUGCAUGUGUGCAUGUGUGUAUACAUAUGCAUGAAUGUGUGUGCCUAUGUGUGUACUGUGUGCAUGUGUGUGCAUGUAUGUGUGUACAUAUGCAUGUAUGUAUGUGUGUGUGCCUAUGUGUGUGUGCAUUUGUGUGCAUGUGUACAUGUGUGUGCAUGUACCUGUAUGUGUAUGCAUGUGUGUGCAUGUGUGUGUGUGUUGGAGCAGCGCCCUCAAUGUCAGGCGCCAGCUGCCUUCCCACAAGGAUCUUUGUUCUGUCAGGGGCCACACUGUUUCUUUAGCAGGCCAAGAGUGCAGGACCUGGCAGGGGCUGUGGGAGCCCCCAUUUGGCCUACUUGGCAGGAGUCCCCACACCCUCCCUAGCCCCAGGCCCCAGGACCCAGCAGCUGGACAGGUGGGGCAGGUGACCAGCAGGACCAACCAGGGCCCUCCCUGGAUCACAGACAGAUGCAGGGAGAAGGAAGUGCCCCCUCUGCUCUCAGGCUGCUGCCCAUGGGGCUGGGGCUGGGGGUGCAUGGAGGCCUCUGGCCCCUUGUAGAGAGGGUCUGGUGGCAGAAGCCCUGUGGCAAGAGGAGAGCCAAGGAGAGCCCAGCAGAGCCAGGGCCACAGCACAGCUCCCAGGCCCCGCCAAGUCCUGGACCUGAUCUUCCUUCCUGGGGACGCCGGUGCCUCCCCCAGGGCCCCAGUAGGCAGUGGUAUUUACACAGUGCACACUGCUUUCUAACUGGGGUAACUGGGGGCCUGGUGGUCCACCAAGGUUAGAGAGCAGAGGUAAGUCUAAGCCAGGACCACUGCCCCGUGGGCUGACCCCACCCCCUCACCACUGCCCUGAGGGUUCCAAGGACCUAGUUCCCAUUCACCGGCUGCCAGCAGGUGCAGGCACCGUGGGGGCACAGUGGAGACCCCACACAGUAAGGGAUUCGCCCCACCUGGGGGGCAGCUUGGCCUCGCCCAGCUCCAGGGAGAUAGCCUCUGAGCCCUUGGAAUGUCCGCCUGAUGAGGGUGUCUUUGUUCCUGGGGCCUGGGCCAUGCCAGGUGGUCCCACAGUGUGAUUUGGGGUGGGGCCCCGGGCAGUUUUCAGUUUGACCUUUGGAGGGCUGGAGACUGAGGUCAACCAUGUGGUGUCAGCCUCGCCUCUGUGACUGACCUCCAGUAGACACCAAGGCCCGCGAGCCUCUCUGGGGACGUGCCUCCAUGCAUGAGGCCACACAUCAUCACCGGGAGGAUGGAGUGCCACCCACACCUCCACAGGGAGGGACUGGCCGGAUGCCCUGGGCUCAGAGCUGUCCUGGAUGCAGCUGCGUCCCUCCCCCUGGCUGGUUUAGUCUGUAGACUGUUGCUUAAUAAACCAUAAGUGAGCAUUGCCACUCCCCAGCGUCUGUGGGUCCUUCUGGCUCGUUAUUGAACGUGAGAGGGGUCUUAGGGACCCCACACCUUGCACUGCUCUUCCUGGGGGAAGGGACAUACUCAUAGUCCACAAGGUCAGGGCAUCCACCUUGAGCUGAUCAGCCGGUCUCCAGGAGGGAAGGAUGCCUGGGCCGAGGGAAAGCAGGGAAGCAGGCGCAGGGGGCAUGAGGAGGGAGGGGCUUGGAGGGCAGCGCCCCAGCCACCCAUUUUGGGGAGGAAACACCGGCUCUGCUCAGCUUGCAGGGAGCUGGGCAGGCUAGAUGGGGUGGGCUCUAAGCCAUGGGUCCCCUAUGAGAAUGCAGCCAAGUGGGUGGCCCCGGGCUGGGGCGUGGAAAAGCG